AUUAAGGAUCAUUUAUCUAACUUUUCUCUACUAAUAGGGCCUCAGAAAAUGAUGUUUCUGCUUUCCUUUGCCCUGUCUUGAUGAUCAAAGAGGGUGUUAGGAGCCCAGCUGAACCGAAAGUAAAAUGGCCUGUGACUCAGAACCAGUCCUGAGGUGAGCUGUGAUGUCAUCCCUUAGGACUGAAGAUCACUAAGCCAACAAUCUAGCCCAGAUUAAAAGAAUUUUCCUGAGUGGCAAGAUGCACAUCUUGCAUCAAAUGGCAAUAAAUAUGGUCGUGCACUUAGUGAAGCAAUAACAAUUAAACCUGUCAACUUUAACUGAGGUUGAGAAAACAAAAGACGUUCCAGUUUACAGUGGCCUCAUGCCAGGAGACUGCUGAGACCGGAGAAGAAUCAGACUGCAGACUGAAGAAUGCUAUCUUCUAAGAAGAAUGUGCUAAUGAAAAAUUUUCAGGAACAGCAGCCUUCUCAAGUUUUCUUCCAGAAUGUUAAUCAGCCAGGACCUCAAAGUAUUCCUGGUCAGUGAGUAUUCUCUGGCAGGUGCAGGGGACAGGAACACACAAAAUCUCCCCUGAGCCAAUUUAGAGGGAAUAAAAUCUGAUGUGAUAUGCUGGCUGUUAACUUUUUUCAAUAACUAUAAAUUAGCUGGUUAUCGAUGAAAGAUUGAAAUAUCACCUAGACCUUUGAGGAUAUAAGUAUAGCUUAUGAAGGAGGCAGGGGCAAAAAGGAAGAAUAAUGCUGCCCUGAGAAUGAACUUGAAGUUUUCUGGCCUACUGCAAGAUUAAAUAAAUGUUCUUUGCUGUUGGCAAAAAAGUUAA